UCUUGCCGAGGUGAAAAGGGAACACGGUGUAAAUCCGCGACAGCCCCCGCUGCUGUAACACGCAACGCAAAGCCAAAUGCCACUGAUAUUUCGGGAAGGCGGUUUUUGCGGUUUGAGCGUGAAGUCAGAAGACCUGCCUUUAUGAUU
rnacentral:ncRNA from 1 species